rnacentral:tRNA from 2 species
GCCCAGAUAGCUCAGCUGGUAGAGCAACUCCAUGGUAAGGAGUAGGUCAGCGGUUCAAAUCCGCUUCUGGGCUCCA